UACGAACUGUGCGAACGUUAUUCGGAACCACUGGGCUUACAGGGUGCGUAGGCGGCUCAACAAGUCAGGUGUGAAAGCCCCCGGCUCAACCGGGGAACUGCGCUUGAAACUGUUAGGCUCGAGUCAGCUAGAGGUACACGGAACUUCCAGUGGAGCGGUGAAAUGUGUUGAUAUUGGAAGGAACACCGGAGGCGAAGGCGGUGUACUGGGGCUGGUCUGACGCUGAGGCACGAAAGCCAGGGGAGCGAACGGG
rnacentral:rRNA from 1 species